rnacentral:rRNA from 1 species
CCUACGGGAGGCAGCAGCGGGGAAUUUUGCGCAAUGGGCGAAAGCCUGACGCAGCGACGCCGCGUGGAGGAUGAAGGCCUUCGGGUCGUAAACUCCUGUCUUGCGGGAAGAAAUGCAGGUGGUGAACAACCAUUCUGUUUGACGGUACCCUCAAAGGAAGCACCGGCUAACUCCGUGCCAGCAGCCGCGGUAAUACGGAGGGUGCGAGCGUUGUUCGGAAUUAUUGGGCGUAAGGCGCGUGUAGGCGGUUUGUUAAGUCUGAUGUAAAAGCCCCGGGCUCAACCGGGGAAGUGCAUUGGAUACUGGCAGACUUGAGUACGGGAGAGGAGAGUGGAAUUCCCAGGGUAGGAGUGAAAUCCGUAGAUAUUGGGAGGAACACCGGUGGCGAAGGCGGCUCUCUGGAC